CGACUAUCGGCGCCUGUGUCCCUUCGAUAAUUGGCUGUUGCGCCUGACCCUAUUAUGAGUGCUUGCAGUGCUGCUACCAGUCAUAUUGGAAGUUGCCUUUGAAAUAUGUUGCGGACGUCAUGCAUGCCCUAGGGUGUUGCAUGUCGACAUGAAAGCAUUCACAGCGUUGCCUCGUUCAGCAAGCCGUUUAGGCUGCUGACACCAAGGACACCUUGUGGAUGCUAUUGGUCUCGGAUGUGGCUAACUAAAAAGGCCGAUGGUGCUUCGGCGCCUUGUGCCUAGAAAAGAAUGUCCAGUCGGAAAAACGACAGUUGGCCUAGCUGAUGCCUUGUGCUAAGGUUGGAGCUACUUGUCGAUGAGGACGUGCUACCUGGUUGAUCCUGCCAGUAG
rnacentral:misc_RNA from 1 species